GACGAACGCUGGCGGCGUGCCUAAUACAUGCAAGUAGAACGCACAGUUUAUACCGUAGCUUGCUACACCAUAAACUGUGAGUUGCGAACGGGUGAGUAACGCGUAGGUAACCUGCCUGGUAGCGGGGGAUAACUAUUGGAAACGAUAGCUAAUACCGCAUAAUAUUAAUUAUUGCAUGAUAAUUGAUUGAAAGAUGCAAUUGCAUCACUACCAGAUGGACCUGCGUUGUAUUAGCUAGUAGGUGAGGUAACGGCUCACCUAGGCGACGAUACAUAGCCGACCUGAGAGGGUGAUCGGCCACACUGGGACUGAGACCCGGCCCAGACUCCUACGGGAGGCAGCAGUAGGGAAUCUUCGGCAAUGGACGAAAGUCUGACCGAGCAACGCCGCGUGAGUGAAGAAGGUUUUCGGAUCGUAAAGCUCUGUUGUAAGAGAAGAACGGGUGUGAGAGUGGAAAGUUCACACUGUGACGGUAUCUUACCAGAAAGGGACGGCUAACUACGUG
rnacentral:rRNA from 1 species